rnacentral:lncRNA from 1 species
AUCCUUUGGCCGAACAUCACCCUCUCCAUAAUUCAGAAAUUCGUCCAGCCACUUCCCACUCUGUGCCGCAGCCAUUCUACAACUCCAGCCACCAUUCUACACUUCCAUACACCAUUCUACACCUCCAUACACCACCCAUACCCCUUGCCGUACCACCAUACCAUCCUAACUCCCUUCUAAAACCAAAAUCACAUCCAAAAACACCCUAAACCCUCUCUGCCGCAGCAAGGAGAAGAAGAAAGAGGAGCUUGAAGUCAGAAAUUCAAAGUGGAAUUCGUGGGCGUUUUAGGUGUAAUCUUUCUUAUGUCUUCGAUGUUUCAAUUCAAUAAACUUUGUGUUGUGAGUAUGAGGAACUAAACCCCCUUGGUUGGGGGGUAAUUCGAAACCAUGUACAUGCUUGCAAUUGAUUCGAUUACAUUCAGUUGUUAUUUCAUAAGUUGUGGAUUCAAUUCAUUCAUCUAUUUGAUUGAUAACUUAUUUGUGUAUGUUGAUUGAGAGUGCACGCUUAGUUUUCAUGCAUGAAUAUG